GGUUCCAUGGUGUAGUGGUUAGCACAUCUGCCUUACACGCAGAAAAUCCUGGGUUCGAUUCCCAGUGGAACCA
rfam:Canis lupus familiaris chromosome 35, whole genome shotgun sequence.